GUCGCGGGACGGGCUGCUGCUGAGACAGAAACUUAAAAUGGAUAAUAAGAGUAAAAAACUCCCGGGUGGCGCUGAGAAGCAUCGGAAAAAAAGCUGAAGUCUCUGGAGGUGGAGGCUGCUAAAUGUGCCAAACUGACGGACCUAUUUGGUGCCGGGUUCACCAGCCCAGCAGUAGCAGGUGCGCCGGGAGACGAGCGAGGAGGACUCACAAUGAUGAGCGAGUGGAGGCAGACAUGGUUGACCACUUGACAUGUGAGAGCCUGAGGAGUUGUUUUCCAGACACAGGUAGAGCUGGCAGGGGCGUCACCCUGGGCCUGCCCUUUUGGGCUGGGCUUCAGCUGCAGAUCUAAAGGCUGCUUCCAGGGGCAUCCAAACACUGUUAACACCACUGACGCGUAACAUAUUUUACACAUCCCACUACGUAGUUUGAGCUAUCUUGAUUUGGAGUUAAAUAAAUUUACUUUUGGCUUGAGA